GAAAUAUAAAGUCUAAGGAAAAGCUGCUAACUUUUAUCUUUAAUGGUUUAACUCCAUUAAUAUUUCU
rnacentral:tRNA from 1 species